UCCUUUUGAACUAGAGCCAAGUAUAGACAGAACAUCAAAGAACAGAGUUCCAAUGAGGACGAGCUGUAAAACACAAAAAAAUGGGAAGGAACAUGGGUUUGAAUUUGAUAGGGUACUCCACCGUUGCAAUGGUUUUCAUAAUUGGUGUGACGACUAAAGCAACAAAAUAUAUGGUUGGUGACAACUUCGGAUAGAACGUUCCCUCCUAUGAGAGCUACUAUAUAGACUGGGCUAGAACCAAGAGAUUCCAUGUUGGUCACAAACUCAUUUUCAGCUGGAGCGGAGAGCAUUCAUUGGGACUUAGGACAGACGCUAUUUAUUACAAGAAUUGUAGCACCGGCUUAGAAGGUGGUCUCACAUACAUAUUUGAUUAUAGGAGGACAAUGGUAAAUUAUACUAUACCAUUGGCAAUCACUGUGCAAGAGGCCAGAAUUUUAGUAUCAAUGUUGAGUCUACUGCUCCUACACUGUCAUUCGGAAUCUUAUAUGCAUUUCUCUCUAGCUUGGCUAUGUAUUUCUGCUUCAUUGUUACCAGUUAGUUACUUUCAACAUUCACUAUACAUUUUCUAGGCUUGUUGAGUUGUUUGUGAUUCAAUAAAGAAAAAAAAACAUAUUUUUAAUCUUUAUGCUUUUAAUAAAGGAUAAAAUUGGUGUGGAAGACUGCAUUCCACAACGGUUAUUUUAAAAACCACCAUGGAAAAGUUCAUUCAACGAUGCUUUUUUUAAAAAUGGUUGUGAUUGAGAAUCUUUUUGAACUAGCCCAUGCUCAUCUUCCUCACUUAGACAUUCAUCCUAACUUUGAACACUAAUGUCAUUUGAACUCUUUCUUGUGCUCAUGCCUUCGGCGUUGCUCUCCAUCGACUGGCUCGUGGUCGUCGUUGUCAUCGUCCUUAUCGUCUCACCAUCUUUGUCGCAUGGUCUAGUCAUCAUUUUCACCGUCGUGUUCCUUUGCCCUCGCCCUCACCCUCACCAUUGUGUUUGGGAAUCCCUUGCCACCAUUUUCAAACCUGAACAUGAAUGUCUCAGAGUUUUAAUUUCGUUGAACUUGAAGCAAGAACCAUGUUUGGAUCUCUGUGCCAGUGGUGGCAAAGAUGGAGUGACUCUUUUGUGGGAUUUGGCUCAGGGUAAGCGUCUUUACUCUCUCGAUGUUGGGUCUAUUAUCCAUGCACUCAAAAUCUGUGAACCAACACACAGAGAAGACAAGCAAAAGUCUGUUUGAGAGACUGUUGGCCAACCAAACAAAGCAGAGGAUAAAAAGAAUGGGAAGGAAAUGACUGGAAACACCCUUACAAUGUGUUGGAGAUGCAGAUUUUGAUUAUCAAGGAUACAGAUCUGAAAGCUUAAAUCUUGUCAACACAGUUUCAGGCCAAAGAAGAGAAGGUUUAAGCAGCUGAUGACUCGCUUAGAGAGGUAAAUCCACUCAGCGAGAUGCAUCCGCUUUGCAAGGCAUCCAACUCGCUUAGUUGAUUGGGAAACCCUAGAAGAUGAUAAGUCAGAGAUGUGCUUGUCCAGCGUGAAGCCAGCCUGCCCAACGAGCAUGUUGUCUCUUCUCGCGCUCAGCGCGCCCACUCUCGCUAAGCGAAAAUUCACUAACUCUCGCUUAGCGAGCCAUGCUCGCUCAGCGAGCUUUCGGAAGCUGAAGAGUCCAAGAGCCUUUAAAACACUGAGGUUGGCGGAGUUUCAAGGAGAGAGAUGAGUUUUGAGCAACAAAGAGAGCUUAGUUCAGAAAAACUGAGAGAGUUAGGGUUUAGAGGCUGGAGGAGACAUCCUCCAUCAUCUUCUUCCAAUUUCUUUCACCAAAAAUAGUUUCUUUCUUAGUUUUGAAGCUUUGCUUGUAAUGGAAGGCUAAGCCCCUUUCUUGGGGAGUUCUACUAAACAAUAUUGAUGUAAUAUUCUCACUAUCUAUUUAAUGUUAUUUUUUUAUGUUCA